UUUUUUUGGGUAGAAGAUGAAGUGUGUGGGUGCUGGCAUAAGUGGAGGGGAGCCACCAGGGGCCCAUGAGACAGGGGGCGCGCCCUACAGGGGGGGCCCUCCUCUCUCGUGGCCUGGUGCUUGCCCCUCCUGCAGUGUUUUCAGUGCCUAAAAUCCUCAAAUAUUCCAGAAAAAAUAAUAUAAAUUUGCAGGGCAUUUGGAGCACUUUUAUUUUCGGACUAUUUUUUAAUGCAUGAAUAAUUCAGAAAACAGACGGAUAAUACUAUUUUUGCUUUAUUUAAUCUAAAUAACAGAAAAGUAAAAAGAGGGUACAGAAGGUUGUGCCUUCUAGUUUCAUCCAUCUCGUGAUCAUCAAAAUGAACCUGCUAACAAGGUUGAUCAAGUCUUGUUAACAAACUCAUUCCGAAUAACACGGAACUGGAGAAAUUUCGAAUAACACUAAGUUACCUCAACGGGGAUAUGAAAAUCCCCAACAAUAAGAAUACCAUACUUUUUCUUGACAGUAGGGAGAGGAAAUUCAAAACCUCCAAAAAUGAUAGUUGGGACUUUUUCAAUAGAAUUGAUGCUAUGAACUUGAGAUUGUUUCCUCGGAAAGUGUACCGUAUGCUCAUUACCAUUAACAUGAAAAGUGACAUUGCCUUUGUUGCAAUCAAUAACAGCCCCUGCAGUAUUAAGAAAAGGUCUACCAAGGAUAAUAGACAUACUAUCGUCCUCGGGGAUAUCAAGAAUAACAAAGUCCGUUAAGAUAGUGACAUUUGCAACCACAACAGGCACAUCCUCACAAACACCGACAUGUAUAGCAGUUGAUUUAUCAGCCAUUUGCAAAGAUAUUUCAGUAGGUGUCAACUUAUUCAAUUCAAGUCUACGAUAUAAAGAGAGAGGCAUAACACUAACACCGGCUCCAAGAUCACAUAAAGCAGUUCUAACAUAAUUUCUUUUAAUAGAGCAUGGUAUAGUUGGUACAUCCGGAUCUCCAAGUUUCUUUGGUAUUCCACCUUUAAAAGUGUAAUUAGCAAGCAUGGUGGAAAUUUCAGCUUCCGGUAUCUUUCUUUUAUUUGUGAUGAUAUCCUUCAUAUACUUAGCAUAAGGAUUUACUUUAAGCAUAUCAGUUAAGCGCAUACGUAAGAAAAUAGGUCUAAUCAUUUCAGCAAAGCGCUCAAAAUCCUCAUCAUCCUUUGACUUGGAUGGUUUAGGAGGAAAGGGCAUGGGUUUCUGAACCCAUGGUUCUCUUUCUUUACCUUGCUUCCUAGCAACAAAAUCUCCCUUAUCAUAACGUUGAUUCUUUGAUUGUGGGUUAUCAAGAUCAACAGCAGGUUCAAUCUCUACAUCAUUGUUUUUGCUAGGUUGAGCAUCAACAUGAACAUUAUCAUUAACAUUAUCACUAGGUUCAUGUUCAUCACCUGAUUGUGUUUCAGCAUCAGAAAUAGAAAUAUCAUUGGGAUUCUCAGGCAUGUCUACAGUAGGUUCAUUAGAAGCAUGCAAAGUUCUAUCAUAUUUCUUUUUCUUCUUUUUAGAAUAACUAGGUGCCUCUAAAUUAUUUCUCUGAGAAUCUUGCUCGAUUCUCUUAGGGUGGCCUUUAGGAUACAAAGGUUCCUGAGUCAUUCUACCAGUUAUAGUAGCCACUCUAACAGCAAAGUCAUUUUUAUUAUUCAAUUCCUUAAGCAAAUCAUUUUGAGCUUUAAGUACUUGCUCAGCUUGAGUAGCAACCAUAGAAGCAUAUUUGCUAACCCGGUGAAGUUCAUCUUUAACUCUAGCCAGAUUAUCACCUACGCGUCCUAUCUCAAAAGCAUUAUUCUUUAACUCUCUACCAGCAUAAGCAUUAAAACUUUCUUGUCUAGCCAUAAAGUCAUCAAAUUCAUCUAAGCAUGGGCUAUGGAAUUUAGUAGAGGGUAUUUCAACUUUAUCAUAUCUAUAGAGAGAAUUUACCUUUACUACCUGUGUCGGGUUAUCAAGAAAAUGUGGUUCUUCAGGCGGUAAAUUAAGACCAUGUAUUUCUUCAAUAGGAGGUAAAUUCUUAACAUCUUCAGCUUUAAUACCUUUUUCUUUCAUUGAUUUCUUUGCCUCUUGCAUAUCUUUAGGACUGAGAAAUAAAACACCUCUCUUCUUCGGAGUGGGUUUAGGAAUAGGCUCAGGAUUUGGCUCAAUUGGUUCAGGAAUUACUUCUAGAAUGGGCUCAGAAAGAGUCCAAUUAUUUUCAUUAGUCAACAUAUUAUUCAAUAAUAUUUCGGCUUCGUCGACUGUUCUUUCCCUGAAAACACAACCAGCACAACUAUCCAAGUUGUCCUUAGAAGCACCAGUUAGUCCAUUAUAAAAGAUAUCAAGUAUUUCAUUUUUCUUAAGAGGAUGAUCAGGCAAAGCAUUAAGUAAGCGGAGAAGCCUCCCCCAAGCUUGUGGGAGACUCUCUUCUUUGAUUUGCACAAAAUUAUAUAUUUCCCGCAAGGCAACUUGUUUCUUAUGAGCAGGGAAAUAUUUAGCAGAGAAGUAAUAAAUCAUAUCCUGGGGACUACGCACACAACCAGGAGCAAGAGAAUUAUAACAAGUCUUAGCAUCACCCUUUAAUGAGAACGGAAAUAUCUUAAGGAUAUAUAAAUAGCGAGACUUCUCAUCAUGAGUAAACAGGGUGGCUAUAUCAUUCAACUUGGUAAGGUGUGCCACAACAGUUUCAGAUUCAAGGCCAUAAAAAGGAUCAGAUUCAACUAAAGUAAUAAUAUCAGGAUCUACCGAGAAUUCAUAAUCCUUAUCAGUAACACAGAUAGGUGAAGUAGCAAAAGCAGGGUCAGGUUUCAUUCUAGCAUUAAGAGACUGCUGCUUCCAUUUAGCUAAUAAUUUCUUAAGAUCAUUUCUAUCAUUGCAAGCAAGAAUUUCCAUUGCAGCUGCUUCAUUCAUAACAUAACCCUUAGGAACAACAGGUAAUACAUAAUCAUUGGGGAACCUUCAUCAUCACUAUCAUCAAUAAUAGGUUCUUCAAUAUUUUCAUUCCCCCUAACUCUAGCAAGUUGUUCAUCUAGAAAUUCACCUAAUGGCACAGUAAUAUCACGCACAGAAGUAGUUUCAUCAUGCAUAGCAGAAGUGACAUCAUCAAUAACAUGCGACAUAUCAGAAUUCAUAGUAGUAGUAGGUUUAGGUGUCGCAAGCCUACUAAUAACGGAAGGAGAAUCUAGUGUAGAGCUAGAUGGCAGUUCCUUGCCUCCCCUCGUAGUUGAGGGCAAAAUAGUAGUUCGAUCAUCUUUCAAGUUCUUCAUAGUGAUCAACAGAUAUAAAUCCCAAGUGACUCAGAGAAUAGAGCUAUGCUCCCCAGCAACGGCGCCAGAAAUUAGUCUUGAUAACCCACAAGUAUAGGGGAUCACAACAGCUUUCGAGGGUAGAGUAUUCAACCCAAAUUUAUUGAUUCGACACAAGGGGAGUCAAAGAAUAUUCUUGAGUAUUAGCAGUUGAGUUGUCAAUUCAACAACACCUGGAUAACUUAGUAUCUGCAGCAAAGUGUUUAGUAGAAAAAGUGGUAUGAUAAUAAUUGUAACGGUAGCAGAAGUAAAGAUAAAUGUUUUUGGGUUUUUGUAGUAGUUGUAACAGUAGCAACGGAAAAGUAAAUAAGCGAACAACAAUAUGUUAAAAGCUCGUAGGCAAUGGAUCAGUGAUGAAUAAUUAUGCCAUAUGCGAUUCCUCAUGCAAUAGUUAUAACAUAGGGUGAUAUAGAACUAGCUCCAAUUCAUCAAUGUAAUGUAGGCAUGUAUUCCGUAAAUAGUCACACGUGCUUAUGGAAAAGAACUUGCAUGGCAUCUUUUGUCCUACCCUCCCAUUGAAGCGGGGUCCUUACGGAAACUAAGGGAUAUUAAGGCCUCCUUUUAAUAGAGAACCGUAACAAAGCAUUAGCAUAUAAUGAAUACAUGAACUCCUCAAACUACGGUCAUCACCGAGAAGUAUCCCGAUUAUUGUCACUUCGGGGUUGUCGGAUCAUAACACAUAAUAGGUGACUAUAGACUUGCAAGAUAGGAUCAAGAACACACAUAUAUUCAUGAAAACAUAAUAGGUUCAGAUCUGAAAUCAUGGCACUCGGGCCCUAGUGAUAAGCAUUAAGCAUAGCAAAGUCAUAGCAACAUCAAUCUCAGAACAUAGUGGAUACUAGGGAUCAAACCCUAACAAACUAACUUGAUUACAUGGUAAAUCUCAUCCAACCCAUCACCGUCCAGCAAGCCUACAAUGGUAUUACUCACGCACGGCGGUGAGCAUCAUGAAAUUGGUGAUGGAGGAUGGUUGAUGAUGACGACGGCAACGAAUCCCCCUCUCCGGAGCCCCGAAUGGACUCCAGAUCAGCCCUCCCGAGAGAGAUUAGGGCUUGGCAGCGGCUCCAUGUCGUAAAACGCGAUGAAACUUUCUCUCUUAUUUUUUUCUCCCCGAGACGGAAUAUAUGGAGUUGGAGUUGAGGUCGGAGGAGGUCCAGGGGGCCCACGAGAUAGGAGGCCGCGCCCUAGGGGGGGGCGCCCCCUGUCUCGUGGACAGGCCGUGGGCACCCUGGCAUUGAUUCUGUCGCCAAAAAUUCUUAUUAAUUCCAAAAAGUGCCUCCAUGGAUUUCCAGAACAUUCCGAGAACUUUUCUUUUCUACACAUAAAACGACAUCAUGGUAGUUCUGCUGAAAACAGCGUCAGUCCGGGUUAGUUUCAUUCAAAUCAUGCAAGUUAGAGUCCAAAACAAGUGCAAAAGUGUUUGGAAAAGUAGAUACAUUGGAGACGUAUCAGGAACCCAAAAAUUUUUCAAAAAGGAAAGUGAAAGUGAGAGAGACAAGCAUUGUUGAAGUGGGAGAGCUCCUUGAACUUUGUUCAUGCUCACGGAAACUUUGUGAAUCUUAAUUACAGAAUCUUUUCAUCAAAAAUAAUUAUCCCCUUGUACAAUUCCAUUGUACUAUAAAAAUAAUGUGCCAAGGUUUGCCUUUAGGAUGUUUACAAUGCUUGUUGGUUUGUACGGUGCAGGACAGAAACUUUGUCUGUAGUGCGUGAUUUUAUAUUUUUUAAUGGAACGUCAAAUGGUUCUAAUUCUCUCUGCACUGUCUUAUAUACAAAUUUUUUAUUUUUCCUAAUUUUGGUAGAAUUUUUGGGGUACCAUAAGUAUGCCGAAUGUUCAGAUUGCUACAGACUGUUCUGUUUUUGACAGAUUCUGUUUUUGAUGCAUAGUUUGCUUGUUUUGAUAAAUCUAUCAAUUUCUAUCAUUGUAUUAAGCCAUGAAAAAGUUAUGUUACAGUAGACACAAUGCAAAAAAAUAUAUUAAUUGGUUUGCUACAGUACUUAGAGUAGUGAUUUGCUUUAUUAUACUAACGGAUCUUACCGAGUUUUCUGUUGAAGUUUUGUGUGGAUGAAGUGUUUGAUCGAGGAAGUCUCGAUAUGAGGAAAAGGAAGAGAGGCAAGAGCUCAAGCUUGGGGAUUCCCAAGGUACCCCAAGUAAAUAUUCAAGGAGACUCAAGCGUCUAAGCUUGGGGAUGCCCCGAAAGGCAUCCCCUCUUUCUUCAACAAGUAUCGAUAUGUUUUCGUAUUCGUUUUGUUCAUGCGAUAUGUGCAAGUCUUGGAGCAUCUUUUGCAUUUAGUUUUCACUUUUCUUUUAUGCACCAUGCUGGUAUGAGAUAGUCCUUGGUUGAUUUAUAGAAUGCUCAUUGCACCUCACUUAAAUUUUUUGAGUAUGGCUUUAUAGAAUGCUUCAUGUGCUUCACUUAUAUCAUUUGAAGUUUAGAUUGCCUGUUUCUCUUCACAUAGAAAACCGCCAUUUGUAGAAUGCUCUUUUGCUUCACUUAUAUUUGUUAGAGCGUGGGCAUAUAUUUUGCAGAAAGAAUUAAACUCUCUUGCUUCACUUAUAUCUAUUUAGAGAGAUGACAGGAAUUGGUCAUUCACAUGGUUAGUCAUAAAAUCCUACAUAAACUUGUAGAUCGCUGAAUAUUAUAUGUUUGAUUCCUUGCAAUAGUUUUGCGAUAUAAAGGUAGUGAUAUUAGAGUCGUGCUAGUGGGGUAAUUGUGAAAUUGAGAAAUACUUGUGUUGAGGUUUGCAAGUCCGUAGCAUACACGUAUGGUAACCGUUGUGUGACAAAUUUGAAGCAUGGGGUGUUCUUUGAUUGCCUUCCUUAUUAGUGGAGGUCGGGGACGCGCAAUGGUUAACUCCUACCAACCUCCCCCCUAGGAGCAUGCGUAGUAGUACUUUGCUUCGAGGGCUAAUAAACUUUUGCGAUAAGUAUAUGAGUUCUUUAUGACUAAUGUGAGUCGAUGGAUUAUACACACUCUCACCCUUCCAUCAUUGCCAGCCUCUUCGGUACCGUGCAUUGCCCUUUCUCACCUCGUGAGUUGGUGCAAACUUCUCCAGUGCAUCCAAACCUCGUGAUAUGAUACGCUCUAUCACACAUAAGCCUCCUUAUAUCUUCCUCAAAACAGCCACCAUAUCUACCUAUUAUGGCAUUUCCAUUGCCAUUCUGAGAUAUAUUGCCAUGCAACUUCCAUAGUAACAAGUGCCCAUUAUUUCUGUUAAAAUAGGAGAUCAUUGUUAUCAUGGCUUAUGUGAUAUGGGUGCUAGUGCUAGUGUUAUACCCAUUGGCUUAUACAAAGAAAUUAUGCAUGAUAUUGCACCGACUGAGUUAGAAGAAAUUGAUGUCACAAUUAAACUUGCCAAUAGAGAUACUAUUUCACCUAUGGGAAUUGUUAGAGAUGUUGAAGUCUUGUGUGGGAAAACCAAAUAUCCCGCUGAUUUUCUUGUUCUUGGUUCCCCACAAGAUAGCUUUUGUCCCAUUAUAUUUGGUAGACCCUUCUUGAAAACUGUUAAUGCUACGAUAGACUGCAAAAAGAAUGUUGUUACUAUUGGCUUGGAUGAUAUGGUUCAUGAGUUUAAUUUCUCUAAAUUUAGUAAACAACAUCGUGAGGAAGAAUUGCCUAGUAAGGAUGAAAUUAUUGGUCUUGCUUCUAUUGUCGUACCUCCUAGUGAUCCUUUAGAACACUAUUUGCUGGACCAUGAAAAUGAUAUGUUCAUGAAUGAAAGAAGGGAAAUAGAUGAAGUAUUCUUUAAACAGGAACCUAUUCUGCAACACAAUUUGCCUGUUGAAAUCCUAGGGGAUCCUCCUCCACCCAAGGGUGAUCCCGUGUUUGAGCUUAAACCGUUGCCUGAUAAUCUUAAAUAUGCUUAUCUUGAUGAAAAGAAAAUAUAUCCUGUCAUUAUUAGUGCUAACCUUUCAGAGCAUGAAGAAGAAAGAUUAUUGAAAACUCUUAAGAAGCACCGUGCUGCUAUUGGAUAUACUCUGGAUGAUCUUAAGGGCAUUAGUUCCACUCUAUGUCAACAUAAAAUAAAUUUGGAAGCUGAUGCCAAACCAGUUCGUGAUCCUCAACGACGUUUGAAUCCUAAAUGAAAGAAGUGGUAAGAAAGGAAAUACUCAAGCUUUUGGAGGCAGGUAUAAUUUAUCCCAUUGCUGAUAGUCAGUGGGUAAGUCCUGUCCAUUGUGUCCCUAAGAAGGGAGGUAUUACUGUUGUCCCUAAUGAUAAAGAUGAAUUGAUUCCGCAAAGAAUUAUCACAGGUUAUAGGAUGGUAAUUGAUUUCCGCAAAUUAAAUAAGGCUACUAAGAAAGAUCAUUACCCCUUACCUUUUAUUGAUCAAAUGCUAGAAAGACUAUGCAAACAUACACAUUAUUGCUUUCUAGAUGGUUAUUCUGGUUUUUCUCAAAUACCUGUGUCGGCUAAAGAUCAAUCAAAGACUACUUUUACAUGCCCUUUUGGUACUUUUGCUUAUAGACGUAUGCCUUUCGGUUUAUGUAAUGCACCUGCUACCUUUCAAAGAUGCAUGAUGGCUAUAUUCUCUGACUUUUGCGAGAAAAUUUGUGAGGUUUUCAUGGAUGACUUUUCUGUCUAUGGUUCCUCUUUUGAUGAUUGCUUGAGCAAUCUUGCUCGAGUUUUGCAGAGAUGUGAAGAAACUAAUCUUGUCUUGAAUUGGGAAAAGUGCCACUUUAUGGUUAAUGAAGGUAUUGUCUUGGGGCACAAAGUUUCUGAAAGAGGUAUUGAAGUUGAUAAAGCCAAGGUUGAUGCUAUUGAAAAGAUGCCAUGUCCCAAGGACAUCAAAGGUAUAAGAAGUUUCCUUGGUCACGCCGGAUUUUAUAGGAGGUUCAUUAAGGACUUCUCAAAAAUCUCUCGGCCUCUGACUAAUUUAUUACAAAAAGAUGUACCAUUUGUCUUUGAUGAUGACUGUGUAGAAGCAUUUGAAAUACUUAAGAAAGCAUUAGUCUCUGCACCUAUUGUUCAGCCACCUGAUUGGAAUUUACCAUUUGAAAUUAUGUGUGAUGCUAGUGAUUAUGCUGUAGGUGCUGUUCUAGGGCAAAGAGUUGAUAAGAAAUUAAAUGUUAUCCAUUAUGCUAGUAAGACUCUAGACAAUGCUCAAAGAAAUUAUGCUACUACUGAAAAGGAACUUUUAGUAGUUGUAUUUUCUUGUGAUAAAUUCAGACCCUACAUUGUGGAUUCUAAAGUAACUAUUCACACAGAUCAUGCUGCUAUUAAAUAUCUUAUGGAAAAGAAAGAUGCAAAACCUAGACUCAUUAGAUGGGUUCUCUUGCUUCAAGAAUUUGAUUUACAUAUUGUUGAUAGAAAAGGAGCUGAGAACCCCGUUGCAGACAACUUGUCUAGGUUAGAGAAUGUUCUUGAUGACCCACUACCUAUUGAUGAUAGCUUUCCUGAUGAACAAUUAAAUGUCAUAAGCACUUCUCGUAGAACUCCGUGGUAUGCUGAUUAUGCUAAUUAUAUUGUUGCUAAAUUUAUACCACCUAACUUCACAUACCAACAAAAGAAAAAGUUUUUCUAUGACUUGCAACAUUACUUUUGGGAUGACCCACAUCUUUAUAAAGAAGGAGUAGAUUGUGUUAUUAGACGUUGUGUACCUGAGCAUGAACAGGAACAGAUCCUACGCAAGUGUCACUCCAAGGCUUAUGGAGGACACCACGCUGGAGGUAGAACUGCACAUAAGGUAUUGCAAUCCGGUUUUUAUUGGCCUACUCUCUUCAAGGAUGCCCGUAAGUUUCUUUUGUCUUGCGACGAAUGUCAAAGAAUUGGUAAUAUUCGUAGACGUCAAGAAAUGCCUAUGAAUUAUUCACUUGUUAUUGAACCAUUUGAUGUUUGGGGCUUUGAUUAUAUGGGACCUUUUCCUGCCUCUAAUGGAUAUACUCAUAUUUUAGUUGUUGUUGAUUAUGUUACUAAGUGGGUAGAAGCUAUUCCAACUAGUAGUGCUGAUCAUAACACUUCUAUUAAAAUGCUUAAGGAAGUUAUUUUUCUGAGGUUUGGAGUCCCUAGAUACUUAAUGACUGAUGGUGGUUCACACUUUAUUCAUGGUGCUUUCCGUAAGAUGCUUGCUAAAUACGACAUUAAUCAUAGAAUUGCAUCUCGAUAUCACCCGCAGUCUAGUGGUCAGGUAGAAUUGAGCAAUAGAGAGCUCAAAUUAAUUUUGCAAAAGACUGUCAAUAGGUCUAGAAAGAAUUGGUCCAAAAAACAUGAUGAUGCAUUAUGGGCCUAUAGAACUGCAUACAAAAAUCCUAUGGGUAUGUCUCCGUAUAAAAUGGUUUAUGGAAAAGCAUGCCAUUUACCUCUCGAACUGGAACAUAAGGCAUAUUGGGAUAUUAAAGAGCUCAACUAUGAUUUCAAACUUGCCGGUGAGAAGAGGUUAUUUGAUAUUAGCUCACUUGAUGAAUGGAGAACCCAAGCUUAUGAAAAUGCCAAGUUGUUCAAAGAAAAAGUUAAAAGAUGGCAUGACAAAAGAAUACAAAAGCGUGAGUUCAAUGUAGGUGAUUAUGUAUUGCUAUACAACUCUCGUUUAAGAUUUUCUGCAGGAAAACUUCUCUCCAAAUGGGAAGGUCCUUACGUUAUUGAGGAGGUCUAUUGUUCCGGUGCCAUAAAAAUCAACAACUUCAUAGGCACAAACCCGAAGGUGGUAAACGGUCAAAGGAUCAAACAUUAUAUCUUAGGUAAUCCUAUAAAUGUUGAAACUAAUAUUAUUGAAACCGUAACCCCGGAGGAGUACAUAAGGGACACUUUCCAGAACGUUCCAGACUCCGAAAAGGAAUAGGUAUGAGGUACGGUAAGUAAACCGACUCCAAAACAAUUUUUAAGGCAAUAUUUCUCCGUUUUGGAAUAUUUAUAAAAAUAGAAAAUAAGUAGCAGUCCGGGGAGGACACGAGGCCUCCACGAGGGUGGAGGGCGCGCCCUACCCCCUGGGUGCGCCCCCUACCUCGUGAGCACCUCGUGUGCCCUCUGGACUCCGUUUCCUUGCACGAUACAUAUUUUGGUCGGUAAAAAUUCACUAUAUAUACUCCCACAGGUUUUGACUCUCGUAUCACGCAAAUAUCCUCUAUUUUCGUUUCGAGCUGUUGCUGCUGCAGAUUAGAGCAAGAUGUCUUCCCAAGAUUCUGAGGGAGAGAGCUACAUGGCUGAUUAUAUUGCAAAUCCCAAGGUAUAUGGGGAUGUGGAGCAUUAUGGCUGGACCACAGAGGAAGAAGAAGACUAUGAUCCAAAAAGGAAGGAGGAAACGAGUUCCGACGAAGAGGACUAUCCCCUACCUCAACCUGGUGAUAUGCAUGUGGAGUUCAAGAAGUCAAGCCUCCAUAAGGUCCAAUCUAUCCCACCUUGUUUUCUACAGGACAGCAAGGCAGCACUAUGCAAAAAGAUAAUGAAGCUUGAGCUCGAGAAUGAGGAUCCAAGGGAUGAAAAUUUUAGCCUCAGACGCAAGCUAGAGAAGAAAAAUGCAACAACUCCAUCAUCAUCAACACCUCCACCGCCAACAACAAGGAAGGAGACAUAAUCACAUGGGUAUGGGCACUCCCCUUGGCAACUGCCAAGCUUGGGGGAGGUGCCCUGGUAUCGUAUCACCAUCACAACUCCUACCUUUACCGUUUUUUUCUUAGUUCGAUCCUAUUAGUAGUACCUUGAUUUAGUAGAAUAAAGUCAUGGCAUGAUCUAGUUUUGAGUUUUGCUUUAUGAUCCUUCUUUGUAAUCGAGUCCGUGAGCUAUAUAAUAAAGAUUAGUGUUGAGUCAAGGGUUUGAGUAUUUUUCCAUGAUCUUGGGUGAUUAGAAGAAAAAGAAUAAAAAGAAUCAAAGAGUUCAUAUUGAUCUUAGUGAAAGUAAUGACUCCACAUAGAAAGAAUAUGAUGAUUAAAAGUUGUUGGGAGUUGGCAAAUAUAGCUUUGGUCAUCGUUGCAAUUAAUAGGAAGUAAUAAGGAAAGAGAGGUUUCACAUAUAGAUAUAUUAUCAUUGACAUCUUUUAUGAUUGGGAGCACUCAUUAAAAUAUGACAUGCUAAAGAGUUGAUAUUGGACAAGGAAGACAACAUAAUGAGUUAUGUUUUCUUAUAUCUGAGAUAAAGUAUGUUGUCAUGGAUCCUCUACCGUGUUGAGCUUGCCUUUCCCCCUCAUGCUAGCCAAAUUCUCAGCACUAAGUAGAAAUACUACUUGUGCUUCCAAAUACCCUUAAACCAGUUUUGCCAUGAGAGUCCACCAUAUCUACCUAUGGACUAAGUAAGAUCCUUCAAGUAACUUGUCAUCGAUGCAAGCAAUAAAAAUUGCUCUCUAAAUAUGCAUGACUUAUUAGUGCAGAGAAAAUAAACUUUGUACGAACUUGUUGUGGACGCAAUAAAAGCGACGGACUGCAUAAUAAAGGUUCACAUACAAGGGGCAAUAUAAAGUGACGUUCUUUUACAUUAAGAUUUUGUGCAUCAACCCUAAACGCGCAUGACAACCUAUGCUUCCCUCUGCGAAGGGCCUAUCUUUUAUUAUUAUCCUCUACCUUAUGCAAGAGUCACGGUGAUCUUCACCUUUCCCUUUUUAUUUUAUCCUUUGGCAAGCUUAGCAUGUUGGAAAGAACAUGAUAUAUAUAUCUAACUGGAUGUGGGGGAGCAUGAAUUAUUAUUGUUGACAUUACCCUUGAGGUAAAAGGUUGUGGGGCAAAAUUAUAAGCCCCUAUCUUUCUCUAUGUCCGGUUAAAACUCCGUAGCCACAAGUGUUGCGUGAGUGUUAGCAAUUAUGAAGGACUAAGUGAUAGUUGAGUAUGCGGACUUGCUUUUAAGCUAUGACAUAGACUCUUUCCGAUGUUAUGAUAAAUUGCAAUUGCUUCAAUGACUGAGAUUAUAAUUUGUUGGUGCUCAAUAAGGUUUCUGAUUCAUACUUUGGCUUUGUGAGAAGAUCAUCACUUGAACAUGAGUAAUCAUAUGACAAAAUUUAUAUAUGUUGCUGUUAUGAAACAAUCAUGACGCCUUCAUAUUCGUAUUUUAUUUUUAUCGACGCCUCUACCUCUAAACAUCAGGACAUAUUUAUUGUUAUCGGCUUUUCGCUUGAGGACAAGCAAGGUCUAAGCUUGGGGGAGUUGAUACGUCCAUUUUGCAUCAUGCUUUUAUGACAAUAUUUAUUGCAUUAUGGGUUGUUAUUUCACGUUAUGUCACAAUACUUAUGGUUAUUCUCUCUUAUUUCACAAGGUUUACAUGAAGAGGGAGAAUGCCAACAGCUGGAAUUCUGGGCUGGAAAAGGAGCAAAUAUUGAAGGACUAUUCCGCGCAACUCCAAAAGUCCUGAAACCCAAUACCUUAAAAUAAAUAAAUAAAAAUCAUCGCCAAAGAUGAAGGCCAGGGGGCCCACACCCUGCUCACGAGGGUGGGGGGCGCGCCCCCUACCUCGUGGGCCCCCUGGUGGCUCUCCGACAUCCAUCUUCUCCUAUAUGAAGUCUUUCGAUGAGAAAAAAAAUAAAGAGAACCUUUCGGGAUGAGACCCCGCCGCCACGAGGCGGAACCUUGGCAGAACCAAUCUAGGGCUCCGGCAGAGCUGUUCUGCCGGGGACACUUCCCUCCGGGAGGGGGAAAUCAUCACCAUCAUCAUCACCAACGCUCCUCUCAUCGGGAGAGGGCAAUCUCCAUCAACAUCUUCAUCAACACCAUCUCAUCUCCAAACCCUAGUUCAUCUCUUGCAUCCAAUUCUUGUCUCCAAGUCCGGGAUUGGUGCUAGUAGGUUGCUAGUAGUGUCGAUUACUCCUUGUAGUUGAUGCUAGUUGGUUUAUUUGGUGGAAGAUCAUAUGUUCAGAUCCUUUAUGCACAUUAUUACCCCUCUGAUUAUGAACAUGAAUAUGCUUUGUGAGUAGUUACGUUUGUUCCUGAGGACAAGGGAGAAGUCUUGCUAUUAGUAGUCAUGUGAAUUUGGUAUUCGUUCGAUAUUUUGAUAAGAUGUAUGUUGUCUAAACUCUAGUGGUGUUAUGUGAACGUCGACUACAUAACACUUCACCCUUAUUUGGGCCUAGAGGAAGGCAUUGGGAAGUAAUAAGUAGAUGAUGGGUUGCUAGAGUGACAGAAGCUUAAACCUAGUUUAUGCGUUGCUUCGUAAGGGGCUGAUUUGGAUCCAUAUGUUUCAUGCUAUGGUUAGGUUUACCUUAAUACUUUUGUUGUAGUUGCGGAUUCUUGCAAUAGAGGUUAAUCAUAAGUGGGAUGCUUUUCCAAGUAAGGGCAGUACCCAAGCACCGGUCCACCCACAUAUCAAAUUAUCAAAGUACCGAACGCGAAUCAUAUGAGCGUGAUGAAAACUAGCUUGACAAUAUUCCCAUGUGUCCUCGGGAGCGCUUUUCCUAUUACAAGAGUUUGUCUAGGCUUGUCCUUUGCUAAAAAAAGGAUUGGGCCACCUUGCUGCACUUUAUUUACUUUUGUUACUUGUUGCUCGUUACCAUUUAUCUUAUCACAAAACUAGCUGUUACCACUUAUUUCAGUACUUGCAGAGAAUACCUUGCUGAAAACCGCUUAUCAUUUCCUUCUGCUCCUCGUUGGGUUCGACACUCUUACUUAUCGAAAGCACUACGAUAGAUCCCCUAUACUUGUGGGUCAUCACAUAUUCAGAGCAAUAUGUAUAAGUCUUGAAGAAAGCAAUAGCAAUAAAACUCAACGAUCAUUAUGCUAAGCUAACGGAUGGGUCUUGUCCAUCACAUCAUUCUCUAAUGAUGUGAUCCCGUUCAUCACAUGACAACACUUGUCUAUGGUUAGGAAACUUAACCAUCUUUGAUUAGCGAACUAGUCAAGUAGAGGCAUACUAGGGACAAUCGUUUUGUUUAUGUAUUCACACAUGUACUAAGUUUCCGGUUAAUACAAUUCUAGCACGAAUAAUAACAUUUAUCAUGAUAUAAGGAAAUAUAAAUAACAACUUUAUUGUUGCCUCUAGGGCAUAUUUCCUUCAGUCUCCCACUUGCACUAGAGUCAAUAAUCUAGAUUGCAUAGUAAUGAUUCUAACACCCAUGGAGUCUUGGUGCUGAUCAUGUUUUGCUCGUGGAAGCGGUUUAGUCAAUGGGUCUGCAACAUUCAGAUCCGUAUGUAUUUUGCAAAUAUCUAUGUGUCCCUCCUUUUGAUCGCGGAUGGAAUUGAAGCGUCUCUUGAUGUGUUUGGUUCUCUUGUGAAAUCUGGAUUCCUUUGCCAAGGAAAUUGCUACAGUAUUGUCACAAAAUAUUUUCAUUGGACCCGAUGCACUAGGUAUUACACCUAGAUCGGAUAUGAACUCCUUCAUCCAGACUCCUUCAUUUGCUGCUUUUGAAGCAGCUAUGUACUCUGCUUCACACGUAGAUCCUGCCACGAUGCUCUGCUUGGAAGAGCACCAACUUACAGCUCCACCAUUCAAUAUAAAUACAUAUCCGGUUUGUGACUUAGAGUCAUCCGGAUCAGUGUCAAAGCUUCCAUCGAUGUAACCAUUUAAGACAAGCUCUUUGUCACCUCCAUAAUCGAGAAACAUAUCCUUAGUCCUUUUCAGGUAUUUCAGGAUGUUCUUGACCGCUAUCUAGUGAUCCACUCCUGGAUUACUUUGGUACCUCCCUGCUAAACUUAUAGCAAGGCACACAUCAGGUCUGGUACACAACAUUGCAUACAUGAUAGAACCUAUGGCUGAGGCAUAGGGAAUGACUUUCAUUUUCUCCCUAUCUUCUACAGUGGUCGGGCAUUGAGUCUGACUCAACUUCACACCUUGUAACAUAUGCAAGAACCCUUUCUUUGGCUGAUCCAUUUUGAACUUCUUCAAAACUUUAUCAAGGUAUGUGCUUUGUGAAAGUCCAAUUAGGCACCUUGAUCUAUCUCUAUAGAUCUUGAUGCCCAAUAUAUAAGCAGCUUCACCAAGGUCUUUCAUUGAAAAAUUCUUAUUCAAGUAUCCUUUUAUGCUAUCCAGAAAUUUUGUAUUAUUUCCAAUCAACAAUUUGUCAUCCACAUAUAAUAUUAGAAAUGCUAUAGAGCUCCCACUCACUUUAUUGUAAAUACAAGCUUCUCCAAAAGUCUGUAUAAAACCAUAUGCUUUUGUCACACUAUCAAAGUGUAUAUUGCAACUCCGAGAGGCUUGCACCAGUCCAUAAAUGGAUCGUUGGAGCUUGCACACUUUGUUAGCACCUUUAGGAUCGACAAAACCUUCUAGUUGCAUCAUAUACAACUCUUCUUUAAGAUAUCCAUUAAGGAAUGCAGUUUUGACAUCCAUUUGCCAAAUUUCAUAAUCAUAAAAUGCGACAAUUGCUAACAUGAUUGAGACAGACUUAAGCAUCGCUACGAGUGAGAAGGUCUCAUCGUAGUCAACCCCUUGAACAUGUCGAAAACCUUCCGCAACAAUUUGAGCUUUGUAGAUAGUAACAUUACCGUCAGUGUCAGCCUUCUUCUUGAAGAUCCAUUUAUUCUCGAUGGCUUGCCGAUCAUUGGACAAGUCAACCAAAGUCCAUACUUUGUUCUCAUACAUGCAUCCCAUCUCAGAUUUCAUGGCCUCUAGCUAUUUCGCGGAAUCUGGGCUCGUCAUCGCUUCCUCAUAGUUCGUAGGUUCAUCAUGGUCUAGUAACAUGACUUCCAGAACAGAAUUACCGUACCACUCUAGUGCGGAACGUACUCUGGUUGACCUACGAGGUUCGGUAGUAACUUGAUAUGAAGUUUCAUGAUCAUAAUCAUUAGCUUCCUCACUAAUUGGUGUAGGAAUCACUAGAACUAAUUUCUGUGAUGAACUACUUUCCAAUUCGGGAGAAGGUACAAUUACCUCAUCAAGUUCUACUUUCCUCCCGCUCACUUCUUUCGAGAGAAAUUCAUUCUCUAGAAAGGAUCCAUUCUUAGCAACGAAUAUCUUACCUUCGGGUCUGUGAUAGAAGGUGUACCCAAUAGUUUCUUUUGGGUAUCCUAUGAAGACACAUUUCUCCGAUUUGGGUUCAAGCUUAUCAGGUUUAAGCUUUUUCAUAUAAGCAUCGUAGCCCCAAACUUUAAGAAAAGAUAGCUUAGGUUUCUUGCUAAACCAUAGUUCAUAUGGUGUCGUCUCAACGAAUUUAGAUGGUGCCCUAUUUAACGUGAAUGUAGCCGUCUCUAAAGCAUAACCCCAAAACGAUAGUGGUAAAUCAGUAAGAGACAUCAUGGUUCGCACCAUAUCUAAUAAGUACGGUUACGACGUUCAGACACACCAUUAUGCUGUGGUGUUCAAGGUGGCGUGAGUUGCGAAACUAUUCCAUAUUGUUUCAAAUGAAGAUCAAACUCAUAACUCAAAUAUUCACCUCCACGAUCAGAUCGUAGAAACUUUAUUUUCUUGUUACGAUGAUUUUCCACUUCACUCUAAAAUUCUCUAAACUUUUCAAUUUUUUCAGACUUAUGUUUCAUUCAGUAGAUAUACCCAUAUCUGCUCAAAUCAUCUAUGAAGGUCAGAAAAUAACAAUACCCGCCGUGAGCCUCAAUACUCAUCGGACCACACACAUCAGUAUGUAUUGUUUCCAAUAAGUCAGUGGCUCACUCCAUUGUUCCUGAGAACGGAGUCUUAGUCAUCUUGCCCAUGAGGCAUGGUUCGCAAGCAUCAAGUGAUUCCAAAAGUCCACCAGCAUGGAGUUUUUUCAUGCGCUUUACACCAAUAUGACCUAAACGGUAGUGCCACAAAUAAUUUGCACUAUCAUUAUUAACUUUGCAUCUUUUGGCUUCAAUAUUAUGAAUAUGUGUAUCACUACGAUUGAGAUUUAACAAAAAUAGACCACUCAUCAAGGGUGCAUGACCAUAAAAGAUAUUAUUCAUAUAAAUAGAACAACCAUUAUUCUCUGAUUUAAAUGAAUAACUGUCUUGCAUCAAACAAGAUCCAGAUAUAAUGUUCAUGCUCAAUGCUUGCACCAAAUAACAAUUAUUCGGGUCUAAAACUAAUCCCGAAGGUAGAUGUAGAGGUAGCGUGCCGACGAUGGUAACAUCGACCUUGGAACCAUUUCUGACGUGCAUCGUCAUCUCGUCCUUAGGCAAUCUUCGUUUAAUCUGUAGCCCCUGUUUCGAGUUGCAAAUAUGAGCAACAGAACCGGUAUCAAAUACCCAGGCGCUACUACAAGCAUUAAUAAAGUACACAUCAAUAACGUGUAUAUCAAAUAUACCUUUCACUUUGCCAUCCUUCUUAUCCGCCAAAUACUUGGGGCAGUUCCGCUUCCAGUGACCAGUACCUUUGCAGUAGAAGCACUCAAUUUUAGGCUUAGGUCCAUACUUGGGCUUCUUCUCGGGAGUAGCAACUUGCUUGCUAUUCUUAUUGAAGUUCCCCUUCUUCCCUUUGCCCUUUUUCUUGAAAUUAGUGGUAUUGUUAACCAUCAACACUUGAUGCUCCUUCCUGAUUUCUACCUCCGUAGCCUUUAGCAUUGUGAAGAGCUCAGGAAUUGUCUUCCCCAUCCCUUGCAUAUUAUAGUUCAUCACGAAGGCUUUAUAGCUUGGUGGCAGUGAUUGAAGAACUCUAUCAAUGACACAAUCAUCAGGAAGAUUAACUCCCAACUGAGUCAAGUGGUUAUGGUACCCAGACAUUCUGAGUAUGUGUUCACUGACAGAACUAUUUUCCUCCAUCUUGCAGCUAUAGAACUUGUUGGAGACUUCAUAUCUCUCAACUCGGGCAUUUUCUUGAAAUAUUAACUUCAACUCUUGGAUCAUCUCAUAUGCUCCAUGACGUUCAAAAUGUCUUUGAAGUCAUGAUUCUAAUCCGUAAAGCAUGGCACACUGAACUAUCGAGUAGUCAUCAGCUUUGUCUGCCAGACGUUCAUAACGUCUGGAGUUGCCCUGGAGUGGGCCUUGCACCUAGCGGUGCUUCCAGGACGUAAUUCUUUUGUGCUACAAUGAGGAUAAUCCUCAAGUUAUGGACCCAGUCCGUGUAGUUGCUACCAUCAUCUUUCAACUUAGCUUUAUCUAGGAACACAUUAAAAUUCAAGGGAACGGUAGCACGGGCCAUUAAUCUACAACAACAUAGAUAUGCAAAAACUAUCAGGACUAAGUUCAUGAUAAAUUAAACUUCAAUUAAUCAUAUUACUUCAGAACUCCCACUUAGAUAGACAUCCUCUAGUCAUCUAAAUGAUCACGUGAUCCAUGUCAACUAAACCAUGUCUGAUCAUCAUGUGAGAUGGAGUAGUUUUUAAUGGUGAAUAUCUCUAUGUUGACCAUAUCUACUAUAUGAUUCAUGUUCGACCUUUCGGUCUCAGUGUUCCGAGGCCAUAUCUGCAUAUGCUAGGCUCGUCAAGUUUAACCCAAAUAUUCUGCAUGUGCAAAACUGGCUUGCACCUGUUGUAUGUGAACGUAGAGCUUAUCACACCCGACCAUCACGUGGUGUCUCGGCACGACAAACUGUAGCAAUGAUGCAUACUCAGGGAGAACACUUAUACCUUGAAAUUUAGUGAGGGAUCAUCUUAUAAUGCUACCACCGUACUAAGCAAAAUAAGAUGCAUAAAACAUAAACAUCACAUGCAAUCAAAAUAUGUGACAUGAUAUGGCCAUCAUCAUCUUGUGUCUUUGAUCUCCAUCCCCAAAGCACCGUCAUGAUCUCCAUAGUCACCGGCUUGACACCUUGAUCUCCAUCGUAGCAUCAUUGUUGUCUCGCCAACUAUUACUUCUACGACUAUCGCUACCGCAUAGUGAUAAAGUAAAGCAAUUACAUGGCGAUUGCAUUUCAUACAAUAAAGCGACAACCAUAAGGCUCCUGCCAGUUGCCGAUAACUUUUACAAAACAUAAUCAUCUCAUAAAAUAACGUAUAUCAUAUCAUGCCUUGACCAUAUCACAUCACAACAUACCCUGCAAAAACAAGUUAGACAUCCUCUACUUUGUUGUUGCAGGUUUUAUGUGGCUGCUACGGGCUUCAAGCAAGAACCGUUCUUACCUACGCAUCAAAACCAUAACGAUUUUUCAUCAAGUGUGAUGUUUUAACCUUCAACAAGGACCGGCCGUAGUAAAAUUCAAUUCAACUAAAGUUGGAGAAACUGACACCCGCCAGCCACCUGAGUGCAAAGCAAGUCGGUAGAACCGGUCUCAUGAACGUGGUCAUGUAAUGUUGGUCUGGGCCGCUUCAUCCAACAAUACCGCCGAAUCAAAAUAAGACGUUGGCGGUAAGCAGUAUGACUAUUAUCGCCCACAACUCGUUGUGUUCUUCUCGUGCAUAUCAUCUACGCAUAGACCUGACUCGGAUGCCAACGUUGGGGAACGCUGCAUGCAAUUUCAAAAAAAUUCCUACGAUCACGGGAGAUCUAACUAGGAGAUGCAUAACAACAAGAGGGGGAGAGUGUGUCCACGUACCCUUGUAGACCGGAAGCGGAAGCGUUAGUUUAACGCGGUUGAUGUAGUCGAACGUCUUCACGAUCCAACCGAUCUUAGGACCGAACAUAUGGCACUUCCGAGUUCAGCACACGUUCAGCUCAAUGACAUCCCUCGAACUCUUGAUCCAGCAGAGGGUCGAGGGAGAGUUCCGUCAGCAUGAUGGCGUGGUGACGGUGAUGGUGAUGUGAUCCGCGCAGGGCUUCGCCUAAGCACUAUGACGCUAUGACAGGAGGAGUAAACUGUUGAGGGGGGCACCGCACACGGCUAAGAGAAGAAUUGAUGUGCUAUGGGGUGCCCCCUGCGCCCGUAUAUAAAGGAGGGGGGAGGAGGCCGCGGCUAGGAGGCGUGCGCCAUGGGGGGAGUCCUACUAGGACUCCACUCCUAGUAGAAUCCACCCGCCUUUUAUUUCUUCACCGGAGGGGAAAAGGAAGGAGAGGGAGAGGGAGAGGGGGAGGAAAGGGGAGCGGCGCUCCCUCCUCCUUAUCCUAUUCAGACUCCCUAGGAGGGGGUGCACGCCACCCCCCGUGGCCUUCCCUCUCUCUCCCCUAGGCCCAUGUAGGCCCAAUACUUCCCCGGGGGGUGCCGGUAACCCCUCGGUACUCCGGUAAAUUACCCGAACCACUCGAAACCAUUCUGAUGUCCGAAUACUACCUUCCAAUAUAUGAAUCUUUACCUCUAGACCAUUUCCAGACUCCUCGUCAUGUCCGUGAUCUCAUCCGGGACUCCGAACAAACUUCGGUCACCAAAACACACACCUCAUAAUACAAAUUGUCAUCGAACGUUAAGCGUGCGGACCCUACGGGUUCGAGAACUAUGUAGACAUGACCGAGACACAUCUCCGGUCAAUAACCAAUGGCGGAACUUGGAUACUCAUAUUGGUUCCUACAUAUUCUAUGAAGAUCUUUAUCGGUCAAACCGCAAUAACAACAUACGUUAUUCCCUUUGUCAUCGGUAUGUUACUUGCCUGAGAUUCAAUCGUUGGUAUCAUCAUACCUAGUUCAAUCUUGUUACCGCAAGUAUCUUUACUAGUUCCAUAAUGCAUCAACCCGUAACUAACUCAUUAGUCACAUUGAUUGCAAGGCUUAUAGUGAUGUGCAUUACCGGGAGGGCCCAGAGAUACCUCUCCGAUACUCAGAGUGACAAAUCCUAAUCUCGAUCUAUGCCAACCCAACAAACACCUUCGGAGACACCUUUAGAGCGUCUUUAUAAUCACUCAAUUAUGUUGUGACAUUUUAUAACACACAAGGUGUUCCUCUGGUAUUCGGGAGUUGUAUAAUCUCAUAGUCGCAGGCAUAUGUAUAAGUCAUGAAGAAAACAAUAGCUAUAAAACUCAACGAUCAUUAUGCCAAGCUAACGAAUGGGUCUUGUCCAUCACAUCAUUCUCUAAUGAUGUGAUCCCGUUCAUCAAAUGACAACACAUGUCUAUGGUCAGGAAACUUAACCAUCUCUGAUUAACGAACUAGUCAAGUAGAGGCAUACUAGGGACACUCUGUUUUGUCUAUGUAUUCACACAUGUACUAAGUUUCCGGUUAAUACAAUUCUAGCAUGAAUAAUAAACAUUUAUCAUGAUAUAAGGAAAUAUAAAUAACAACUUUAUUAUUGCCUUUAGGGCAUAUUUCCUUCACCAUCGUCUCGGCACACUAGAGAUCGAAAGGUCGAACGUUAGUCAUAUAGUAGAUAUGAUCAACAUAAAGAUGUUCACCAUUGAUGACUACCUCAUCUCACGUGAUGAUCGUACGUGGGUUAGUUGAUUUGGAUCAUGUAUCACUUAGAUAACUUGAGGGAUGUUUAUUAAUUGGGAGUUCAAUAGUAAUUUGAACUUAGUCUUAAUAGUUUUGCAUAUCUAUGUUGUAGAUCAAUGGCCCGAGCUACUAUUCCCUGGAUUUUAAUGCGUUCCUAGAGAAAGCUAAGUUGAAAGAUGAUGGUAGCAACUACACGGACUGGGUCCGUAACUUGAGGAUUAUCCUCAUUGUUGCACAGAAGAAUUAUGUCCUUGAUGCACCGCUAGGUGAUAGACCUGCUGCAGGAGCUACUGUAAAUUUUAUGAACGUCUGGCAGGCUCGAUCAGAUGACUACUCAAUAGUUUAGAGUGUCAUGCUUUACGGCUUAGAACCGGGACUUCAAAGACGUUUUGAACAUCAUCAAGCAUAUGAGAUGUUCCAAGAGUUGAAGUUAAUAUUUCAAGCAAAUGCCCGGGUUGAGAGAUAUGAAAACUCCAACAAGUUCUAUAGCUACAAGAUGGAGGAGAACAAUUCUGUCAGUGAACACAUACUCAAAAUAUCUGGGUAUCAUAACCACUUGACUCAGCUGGGAGUUGAUUUUUUAGUUGAUAGUGUUAUUGAUAGAGUUCUUCAGUCACUACCACCAAGCUACAAAGGCUUCGCGAUGAACUACAUAUGCAAGGGGAUGACGAAAAUGAUUUCCAAGCUCUUCGCAAUGCUUAAGGCCGUUGAGGUAGAAAUCAAGAAGGAGCAUCAAGUGUUGAUGGUUAACAAGACCACUAGUUUCAAGAAAAAGGGAAAGGAAAGAAAGGGAACUUCAAUAAGAAUGGAAAGCAAGUUUCCGCUCCCGUGAAGAAACCCAAAGCUGGACCCAAGCCUAAAACUGAGUGCUUCUACAACAAAGGGAAUGGUCACUGGUAGCAGAACUACCCAAAAUACUUGGCGGAUAAGAAGGAUGGCAAAGUGAACAAAGGUAUAUUUGAUAUACAUAUUAUUGAUGUGUACCUUACUAAUGCUAGUAGCAGCGCCUGGGUAUUUGAUACUGGUUCGGUUACUCAAACUUGUAACUCAAAACAGGAGCUACAGAAUAAACAAAGAUUGGCUAAGGACGAGGUGACGAUGCACGUCGGGAAUGGUUGCCUAUGUGAUCGCCAUCGGCAUGCUACCUCUACAUCUACCUUCGAGAUUAGUUUUAGACCUCAAUAAUUGUUAUUUGGUGCCAGCUUUGAGCAUGAACAUUAUAUCUGGAUCUUGUUUAUUGCGAGACAAUUAUUCAUUUAAAUUGGAUAAUAAUGGUUGUUCUAUUUAUAUGAGUAAUAUCUUUUAUGGUCAUGCACCCUUGAUGAAUGGUCUAUUGUUGUUGAAUCUCAAUCGUAGUGCUACACAUCUUCAUAAUAUUGAUGCCAAAAGAUGCAAAGUUGAUAAUGAUAGUGCAACAUACUUGUGGCACUGCCGUUUAGGUCAUAUUGGUGUAAAGCGCAUGAAGAAACUCCAUGCGGAUGGACUUUUGGAAUCACUUGAUUAUGAAUCAUUUGAUACUUGCAAACUGUGGCACCCCAGCUCAGAGAAACCGGAACGCCCCGUAUUCCAGCCCAGAGAUUGAGGAGAAGUCUUCUGGAAUACGACACUUAGCAUAGAACAAACCAACUCUUUAUUAUCACACGAAUAUGAAUACAAGGUCUCCGAUAUUACAAUGAAUAACAUCGGUACAGCGACACUACUACAUUCUCAGUUGCUCUAUGCAAGCAGCAGAACAACUCGAAGCAGCGGAAUAACUCUAGCAGCGGAACAACGGCGAUGGUGGUGAACUCCACUCCGCAGGGACUCUGGCUGGAACGCUUAUCCUAGCUUGCAUGAACGGAAACCACGACAAGCAAGCAAUCAAAUCCGGCAUGACCUGCAACCUGGCGUGACACGCCAGGUCAGUACAUUGAAUGUACUUGCAUGCUCACAAUAACCAGAAGCAUUCAAGACAGACAACAGCUUGGCAAUUAUAGGUUAAACAGGAAUUAUCAUGAUAUCAUCAAAAUAACAUGGCAUCAUCAGCAUAAACAUGAUACAACUAACUCAACCUGAACAUAGCAUGAACAUAUUAAUCCGACAAUACUAGCAUGCAACAUAAUGACACUAUAUGCACCACUUAUUCUGCAUGGCUACCUCGUAACCAACACAUGCAUCACUUACCAACCUCGAACAUCACACGAACAUACACAACUCGGUAUCCUCGAUACCAGUGUGAUCCUUACGGCGAUCACAACCAACUUAUCUCAUUGUUAUUAAGCACAUUAUUCUUAUUACUCUUGACUCAUGGUGUGACCUACUUUCGACCUGGGCCCUUAUCCGCGGGCGCGGCUAUCGAUAGAUUUAAUAUACACUCUGCAGAGGUUAGUACACUGUACCCACACUACAGAACCCAUGGCCUCGCACUCCCAUUCGGGUGGACCAACGGCAUUCCGGCAAAACCUUCGUACUGCCAUGACACUUUCCCGGCCACUCCGACUCACUCCCCACUGGGCUAAGUCAUGGGUGGCCCCGUGUCUACCUCCAGACACAACGACCACCACCGUGGCCAAAACAUAAACGAUCCCACACGGGGAUCCGUCGGCUAUAACAACUACGGGCACACAAGGUUAUGCCUGCUUACCGGGCCAGGGUAUAGCACGCCCAUAACCUUCCCUCGUUGGAGGCACCAACGAGAGGCACGACAAUAGACCCAAUUAGGACUGUCCCAUACCGGCAAGUGUGGUUGCACUGGUCAGCACCAAUUCAGCGGCACCAUGACUCAACCAACAGUUGUUCAAGUUCAAUUUAAUCCGGUUAACUUGAAUGCAAAUAUGCUGAGCCAUGAUAAAAUGCAUGAACAUGAUAUCAACAUAAUCAUGAGGGUAUCACAUAACUUUCCACCAUAUCAACAAUAAAUCAGAUCCACUAAGCAUCGCAUACUGACUAGCAUGACCAUCUCCAACAUCAACAUGUACUACUAGCAAGCAUAAACAUAUGAAAGGUAAUACUAGCAAGUAUAACAUGAUCACAUAGUACAAGACAACAUAGCACAAAAGUGAACAUGCAAAUCUGAACAUCACCGGAACAACAAUAACCAUCUUUUCAACAAGCAAACAUUUAUUAAAGAUUCAAGUUGAAAACCAUGGCUACUGCAUGACUAUCAUGCAAGUGGGUAUUGUGGCUUGCCUGGGAAUGAAGAAGGCACCGGGGGGAAGUGCGGUGAAGCCGCGGAAAGAAACACCGGAAAACGUUCUCUCUCGAAGGGGGCUGAAUAAGGGCAAGGGCAUAAAGGUCAUUUUCACAAUGUCAAACCAUAGUGAAAACAUGACCAACAGAACGGCCUCGGCGAAACAAAGAAGUGAGCGUUGGUUUCAUCUUAAACGGAGUUACGGAUAAAAAGAUAUAAGGGUUUUACUGCCAGGGACCUAUCUGUAAUGAAAAGAUUUUCACACAGGGGCCUGGACAGAAAAAGUGAAAGCGUAUUUUGGUGAUUACGUCUCCACUUACGCUGAUGUGGUGACGACCAGUCAAACAGAGGCGGGGCCGGCUUCAGGGUGGCUGACGCGCGGGGCCCGCGGGACCCACACUGCUGGUCAACGCCUACUCCCGCUCUCCUUCUUUUUCCCUGACGGGAGGAGGGGAGGGGCGAGGCAGAGGUGCUACCGGCGCUGGGCAUGGCGGCUUCGGCCAUCUCCGGCCACGGAGAGGGCACCGGUGGACUCGGGCAGCUGCACCGCGCCCAUUCAGAGGGAGAGCUGGCAGCGGGAGAGCUAGAGCGAAGGGGAGGCCGCGGCGACGAGGACUACAGAGGCGGCGGCUGGUCGAUGGGCACGGCCCUGGAGGGGCUUCGGCGAUGGGGUAAAGGGCAGGGAGACUCGCCGGAGUGUGGGGAAGGCGAUGGUGGUGGCUAGAGGUGGAGGAGGGCUCGGCUUCGGCCGAAUUUUGGCCGGAGGGGGCGGCGGCCAUGGCAGCAAUGGGGGCACAGAAAGCUCCCGGAGCUCGGGCUAGAAUCUAGGCGGGGCACAGGGAGGUGGGUGAGGCUAGUGGGGUGCUCAGACGACUCGGGGAAGGGCUAUAUAUAGCCGGGCGAGGAGGGGAGGCCAUGGACGCGUGGCCGUGGCUCGGGUGCCGCUGUGCGCAUCUGGCCGACGCUCUGGCGAGGCCAGCGAGCAUGGGAGGGCUCGGGGAAGGCGACGAAGGAGAACGCGGACGAGGCACAGGGGUCACGGAGACGAGGCAGAGCUCGGGGACAAGCGAAGUAAGAAGCCGAGCGCCAUUAAUGCGCUGUCGGCCAGAGUGCUCCCGUGGGCGAUCGUCGGCGAGCGCCGACGAGGAGGCUUCGGCAGGGGGAGAGGGGUCCAGGAAAACGGCGACGACGAGGGCUACCUACUAGACAUCAUCACGAGCGCGAAGCCGACGAGAGGGGGAGGGGGUCCAGCACAAACAUCCACUGGACGUGCGCAUGGCAUGCCAAAACGGUGGUCACCACCAGUGCUGGCAUGUGGGGGAGGCAAACAACUAGAAAUUGAUGUCUAGUGGUAAGUCCUUCGAAGGUUGGUUUCAACUGAGGUGGUAACUUGGUGAAAGAGGCUCUGGUUAAAAAGUUAGUGAGCUCUGAAGUUUACUGCAGUAAACUUCACCAGCUCAAUGUGGUCAACAGGGAGCUGUUAAGGGCCAAACAAGUUGUCUGGGAUGUUUAGCUAUGGAGGGACUAUGAUCCUGGAGGUUUUGAGGGUAAAAGGAUCAAGAUUUACUGCAGUUGCUUCACAACUGCAUACUUGGUCCAGAAAUAAAGAUCAGGAAGAUGCACUCACAUGGAGUGUCCACUUGAGCUAAAAUUGGUCAAGGCUUAGCAAUUUGGACAUAUUAAGAUGAUGUAAAAAGCUCAUGCCAAAUGGACAAACCAAAAUAGCACUUGCUUCACAAACAUCAUUUCUAUCCAGAAACUUGGAAUAAUUAUGGUGGUCAAAUGGCUCAAUGAAAUUAUGCCAAAAUGGGUGGAGAGAUGUUUUAUGGGUAUAAGAAUGAUCUGGUAAUUUAUCAGGAUUUUUGAAGCAAUAUAAAAUAUACUUGCUUCACAACCUGAAAAUAUUGCCAGAAUCAAAGAUUUUCUCCUGUGCUCACAUACGUAAUUGGAUGGGGCUGAAAAUGGGUGGAAGGUGUUAAUAUGAGCACAUUAAGGAGUUUGCAAAAGUUCAACUCAUUUGGGUACCCCUAGCUAGUACUUCCUUCAGAAAGCCUUCUAUUUGACAGAAACUUUGAAAAUUCCCUGAGGAAGAUUGGCUAGGAAAAUAAAUUUUAAAUUGUGCAUGAGGAAAUUAUUUGCACAUAUAAACAUUCCCAAAAAGGUUGGUAGUCAAUAGGAGGAAUAUAAAUGACAGUUCCUUCACAAAGUGCCAUUCAGGGAAGAAUUGGAAAUGAAUUAUUGGAGGAUUAUUUUUGAACAUGGCAAUGAAAACUUUUGCCAUAUUUGAUCAAGAUAUGACCCAAACAAUUUAUUAGAAUUAUUUGGGAAUUUUUGGAGUGAUGGAAAUAUAGGUUGCUUCACAACCUAGGGCAAUUUGAGUUAUUCCUUUAAUAGAAAAGGAAUAUUCCCAAUAAAAAGAAUAUUGGGAUUCGGGAUAGGAUGGAAAUGGAAAGGUCUAGGGAAAGAUUUGGGAAUGACAAGCCACUCUGGAAGCAAAGAAGAGGGGAUCUUCUUCAGUUUCCAGACCACAAGGCCAUGGAAAAAAGAAAACUCAGGCAAAAACCUCGGAAAAACAAAAGAAAAAGAAAGGGCCAAAAAUCAGGCUGUCACAAACCUUACCCCCUUAAAGAAAUCUCGUCCUCGAGAUUUGGUUGCUCAGGGAACUAGUAUGAAUAUUCUGACUUAAGGAAACUAUUUCCAACUCGGGUAUCCUUUUUCCUUUAUUGUUGUUCCCAUUAAAUCUUUAUCUGACUGGCCCUGGGGUAGUUUGAUUCACUGUAUCCUCCUUUUGUCAGAUCUUACCUUGCUUGUUCAUGCUUAUAUAGGCUCCAAUUUCUUUUUAGAUCUGCUGACUAGCUGAGUGUGAUUUGAUUAUCACGACUGAAAUAUAUGUCCGUCUCACAAAUCCAAAAGUGAUUUCCGCUAGGUGUGCUACCCGGCACUGACAACCUUUCCUAUAUUGAUGAUCAGAUUUUCUGAUGAAAACUCAAGCUCUGACUCAUUGCAUUGGGUUUCUCCACCAAAUGCAGGUCAUUUGGGCUCCAAACAGUGAGUUAAAACAUAACCGUUUCCUGACAGAUUUUGACUCAUCUCAGAAGUUUCUGAAUCAUCUUAAUCGGUUCCACUGUCAUGAGUACCGGAUCCGUACCAAAUAUUUGAUUAUCUCCUGUCCUGUCAUGGCCAGCAUAAAGGGUCUGGCCUGUAUGAUAAUAUCUGGAGACUUGGCUGACGGUGGUUCUGACGGAAUUUUUUUUGUUCACGACAGGCUAUCCAUGAUGAUUCAUAUAAGUGAGGACUCAGGCUUGUAGCUUAUCCUCAUUUUUCUUGACAGGGUAACCUAUUAAAUGACAGGUUCAACACCUCUCAAAUUCUGAUCGUUGGGAAAUGAUCAUCCGAAACCCUUGCAAGAAAAUCGGCAAAUAAAUCAGUAGCCACCAGAACGGUCUUUACAACUCAGAUUUGGGACAUUACUGGAAUAACUCAACCAUGGCUCAGGACGGCCGAAAAACAGCUCAGAGCAUGAGACCGGGUUGAUAAGAAGAAGGUGGCAGCUCCCUAAAAUAUCCAAAAAGCAGCUAUAGGACUACCGUCACAAAAGAAACUCAACAGCUGUACGGGACGGUUGAAAAGCAGCUCAGACUCGCGACAGUCGUUCAAGAGAGAAACAAAAAUUGGCAUCCACCCCGGAUAGCUAGAAACAACUCAGAUCACAGGCGUGGUGCCGUCAUUGGAGAAAAAGGGGACAAGGGCUCAUCAAGAUCAUUUUCUAGGUUCAUGGGUACUUGUAUUGAUCUCAUUGAUGUCGUCAAUCCUCAUAAUCCUUUGUCACACUACGGUGUAUACUGGCUUUCUUCUAUUAAUCAUCCUCACGUGGUUAUUAGAUCUUCAUCCGAGUGACUUGUAAGAUCUUUGGUGGUAUGCUCAUCGCAUAUAUAUGAGGACCUGAUUCGGAGACAGAUGUGUAUUCUGACUGAUUCUUGCUUCUGACCAAAAGGUCGCAGAUCUGAUUCUUGCAAUUCACUGCCAUAUGCUGUCAAUUCACAACGUACUACCUUGUACCAAUGUCUUACUAAGGAAUAUUUGCUGGCUUGUGCUCGAAACUUUCAUCUGACAGCUUGCUGAAGAAGACUGGGUAUCGUGCUUCAGAAGCUUACCCCCUUAAAGACUUUGCUGGGGAGAGACUCAGUACCUUAUGCCGGAAGUUUUUGCGGUUGCUUACUGAAGAAGACAGGGUACCUUGCACGAGAAGUCAUCCAUGUAUUGCACUGAGGAAGAUAGAUGAAUCUUGCCUUGGAAGCUUCUCUGGUAUUUUGCGAGGGAAGAUUGGGUUGCUUACAUGAGAAGCUUAUUAUUGUGAUAUGCGGACCGAUUCCCACAUAUAUAACCACCUGAAUAUGUUUGCUAUUGAUUUCUUGCAUGAAACGGGGUUUUGCAGGACUAUCCUCCUUUCUGAGUACAUGCCAUAUUUUGCUUGCUUCCAGGUACAUCGAGUUCCAAAAUCAUAUUCAACGAAAAAUUAAACUUGUAUCUGAGCCAUACCUUUGAUAAUAUUCUGUCAACCUUGCACACAAUUUAUCUUCUUGCUGAUUUAAUCAUUUUUUUGUGAUGAGUGUACGCUAAUGCAAACUUGAUACUGACGGUCCAUCCAGGAUUUCUUUUGCAUCCAGACAAGAUAUUCCCAAUUUCACUGCAGUCAGCUGAUAAUUCCAUUCCGUUUUACUGAGUUUCCAAAUAUAUGCAUUUCUUGCUGACUCUUCGGGUCCGGUGUCGGUUGACGAGCAACUUUAAUAGGGAAAAAAAUUUGUAACACGCCCAAAGAAAGGAACAACAGAAAUGACUAAAACAAAAGCACACAAGCAUACUACUGAUAUAAUUAAUCAAGCAAUCAUCACAUAUUACUGCUACUCACACAAUAAUAUGCAUGCACACCUAAGCACAUAAAUCUCGCAGAAACUUUGGUAUUGCGGUCUAAUAUGCUAUGACGAUGUGCACGAGGACGAAUAAAUGUGUGGAAGAAUUGGUGUAAACAGCGCUACACCAAGUGCUAGCUUAGCUAGGCAGCAACCUGAACUAGCUCGGAGGCGAGGACGUACUCGGUAAUCAUGUAGUGGGACACGAAGUUCGCAACCACAUUAUUAUCAAGCGGAUGGAAAAAGAUCUGUACUCGUCCAAGAAAUAGGAUAGCGGGGAAAAACUGAGGCUGCUAACAUUGCCCUUUCUUGAUAACUAAGAUCAUUAAGGGUUGCCAACACGACAAAAGAAAAGAAUGAUCCGGGAUAGACGCAUGUCCAUCACUGAAAUGAUAGGCGGGACUGAAGGAAAAACAUCGGUGCGAUACCUGAGCACCAUUUUUGCAAACAGUGUCGGGAUUACUUGGCAUCACUCUGCUGGGACAGAAAUGACACCAAACACCGAAAGAAAAAGGAACUGGAGAAAUGCAAAGAUUGAGCUGUAGUGGAUCCGAACCGAUGCCAGCUACACUAAUCAGAUAAACAAUUAUCACGAAUACUAAGGCUAUAUGCAUGCUAUACAACAAACAAAUGCAACAACCAAGUGCAACAAACCAACUGGGGUCUAUACUACUGCUUUCUAAUGUUCGCACGGUCUAGGGCAUCCUACAACCAGACCUGCUCCGAUACCAAGCGCUAUGGCACCCCGGCUCAGAGAAACUGGAACGCCCCAUAUUCCAGCCCAGAGAUCGAGGAGAAGUCUUCUGGAAUACGGCAUUGCUUAGCAUAGAACAAACCAGCUCUUUAUUAUUACACGGAUAUGAAUACAAGGUCUCCGAUAUUACAAUGAAUAACAUCGAUACGGUGACACUACGCCAUUCUCAGUUCCUCUAUGCAAGCAGCAGAACAACUCGAAGCAGCGGAAUAACUCUAGCAGCGGAACAACGGCAACGGUGGUGAACUCCACUCCGCGGGGACUCUGGCUGGAACGCUUAUCCUAGCUUGCACGAACGGAAACCACGACAAGCAAGCAAUCAAACCCGGCAUGACCUGCAAGCUGGCAUGACACGCCAGGUCAGUACAUUGAAUGUACUUGCAAGCUCACAAUAACCAGAAGCAUUCAAGAUAGACAACAGCUUGGCAAUUACAGGUUAAACAUGAAUUAUCAUGAUAUCAUCAGAAUAACAUGGCAUCAUCAACAUAAACAUGAUACAACUAACUCAACCUGAACAUAGCAUGAACAUAUUAAUCCGACAAUACUAGCAUGCAACAUAAUGACACUAUAUGCACCACUUAUUCUGAUCGGCUAUCUCGUAACCAACACAUGCAUCACUUACCAACCUCGAACAUCACACGAAUAUACACAACUCGGUAUCCUCGAUACCAGUGUGAUCCUUACGGCGAUCACCACCCGACCAACACUUGGCCUGUGAUCCUUACGGCGAUCACAACCCGACCAAUACAUGGCCUGUGACCCUUACGGCGAUCACAACCCGACCAACACUUGGCCCGUGAUCCUUACGACGCUCACAACCAACUUAUCUCAUUGUUAUUAAGCACAUUAUUCUUAUUACUGUUGACUCAUGGUGUGGCCUACUUUCGACCUGGG
rnacentral:lncRNA from 1 species